AAAACUCAGUAUACUGUCCAGAAUAUCCUGACCUUUCUCAUGAAGCUUUCACCCCGCCUGAAUGCUGGUAGUCACCGCCAAGAAAUGAAACUACUAAUACUCUGCCGUUGGCGUUUAAAAUAACCUGGGUAUACGUUAAGAAUAUAUUUCCUAUCUUCCCGUGAAGUCAGUAAUUGUCAUAGACAUCUCCUGCAUAAGACUUCACUCUUCACAGAUAGCCUCAAAUAACUCAGGGGAGAAUUCCUUAGUCCUUGGGGUUAAUGGAGCCACAAAAUGGAAGAGGUCUAGAAUCAUCACAUGGAAGACUGCCUGCUAAGUAGUACGUUGAACUGUCAAAUGAAGGAGAAAUAAAAUUCUUAUGUUGGGGGUUGUUAUUGUAA